UCGGGAAUUUUGGGCAAUGGGCGAAAGCCUGACCCAGCAACGCCGCGUGAAGGAUGAAGUAUUUCGGUAUGUAAACUUCGAAAGAAUAGGAAGAAUAAAUGACGGUACUAUUUAUAAGGUCCGGCUAACUACGUGCCAGCAGCCGCGGUAAUACGUAGGGACCAAGCGUUGUUCGGAUUUACUGGGCGUAAAGGGCGCGUAGGCGGCAAUUCAAGUCAUCUGUGAAAUCCCCGGGCUUAACUCGGAACGGUCAGAUGAUACUGCUUUGCUAGAGUGCAGAAGGGGCAAUCGGAAUUCUUGGUGUAGCGGUGAAAUGCGUAGAUAUCAAGAGGAACACCUGAGGUGAAGACGGGUUGCUGGGCUGAUACUGACGCUGAGGCACGAAAGCGUGGGGAGCAAACAGGAUUAGAUACCCGAGUAGUCCCUGAGCGGGCUGGCAAGGCGCAU
rnacentral:rRNA from 1 species